UGAAAACUACCAAGUAGAAUCGCAUUUGGAAAUAAUUUUCACAUGCACAGAUUACUUGGAAAGAAUGUCACUUAGCAUGGAUGAAGACACGAUAAUCUGCAUGUUUCGAAAUUAAAGAAAACAGCACCAGUUUUAAUAACUAGAAAUAAGAUGAGAAAGUAAUAUCUUAAUGAGAAAAUAACUUCGGUUACUUUGUUUCAUUUUCAACACCCAUCUGGAAAAUGGGACAGGGCUGAGGCAUAUUGAUCUACAAAUAUAUAUUACUUCGUUAGGGCCUCAUGUUAGGGCUGAGGCCCAUUUCUAGAUCUACAAAUAUUUGCAAAACUGAGAAUGCAAGCAUGCUUAAACAAGGAUUUAUCAGCAUCAUGUAAGGAAUUGAAAUAAUAUAAUCAGGAACAUGUCACCACCUCUAAUCAGGAACAAUGAUGGACUUGAACUGCAACUCUUGAGCUAUAGGGCCUCUCAACAAGCCCCAGCAUAUGAGAAUGGACCCUACAGAUGAGUUGGUCCAUAAGUAAUUAUGCUUAAAGUUUAUAAUUAAUUACAAAGGAGCUAUUGAUUACCUGAAUUAUAUUGCUUUCAAUGAACAACAAGUGUGGCCAUCAACUAUGUUUCAUCCAGGCCUCAAGAACACCACAUCCAGACACAAGUCGGAGGUAACGGUCAUUCCGUUUUGCGUAUGGGUAAUGCAAAAAGCAAAGCCGGUGAACAUCAACAACAAGAGGACGUAGCUACAGGUAUUAGGCACUGCACCAGGAAUACUUGCAUUUCUGACAGUAACAAUCUUUUUGCAUAAUGUGUUGCAGGUCAGGCGAGUGGUAAAAAUGUUGAAGAAUACAAUGCAACCUUUGAUACUGAAAAAGAUGAAGCUAUUUGCGCAACAGAACCCGCCCUUACGAGCGAGACAAAUCUGAAAGAAUAUAAUCCAAGCAUCUUAACCGUAGCUGCAAAUCUUGACCCAAUUUACACGACGGAAAUAGAUGGAUCAGAAUGGGUAAGGCCUGGAUACCAUGCUGAUGGUCAAACAUUUGCGGCUACGGCUAAUCUAUCACUAGAUCAUGCUAUUAAUAAGAUGCAGCUGCGAGAUGAUACUGAAGACGACACAGCUUCCGAACUGCUUGAAACUGUUUCUCUAAAUAAUGAAUGCAAAAAAUACUCUGAGGAAGCAAGGGAGCAGUACAAUGCAAGGAGGCGUGCAGCUUAUCGGAAGAAAAAUAAUGAGGAUAUUGUCAGCUUACAAGAUGAGAAUCAGCCGAU